GAUGGGGAGACUUUAAGCUAAAGAAACUCAUCGGAAGUGCCCCAUGUUUUAUAGCAGAGAAGCCUCAUCCUCUGGUCACCUUCGCCUUAGCCCAUGGGGAGUACUGCCAGACUGCCAUCGAUGUUCUCUUAAGGCUCAAAGUCUCUUCAGUCAGCUUGUGCAUGAAUGCUGCCUGGCCUUGGACUCACCUCUCAGCCUACUGAAUCAGAGUACAUGGAAAGAGCCCAGCGAUCUGUUUUAUCAAGCCUUUGGAAUGAUUGUGAUGCACACUAAAGACUGUAAACUCCUUCUCUAAGAAGACAAAGUGUGUGUGAGUUUCCCUACUGGAGGAGAAAUGAACUAGAACUCUGCAUUUGGAGAUAGAAGACAGGACUUCAUAAAAGC
rnacentral:lncRNA from 1 species